rnacentral:piRNA from 1 species
UAUAGCGUAUUUGGAUCCUAUUUUUCUCCC